rnacentral:rRNA from 1 species
GACGAACGCUGGCGGCGUGCCUAAUACAUGCAAGUUGAGCGCUGAAGGUUGGUACUUGUACCAACUGGAUGAGCAGCGAACGGGUGAGUAACGCGUGGGGAAUCUGCCUUUGAGCGGGGGACAACAUUUGGAAACGAAUGCUAAUACUGCAUAAAAACUUUAAACACAAGUUUUAAGUUUGAAAGAUGCAAUUGCAUCACUCAAAGAUGAUCCCGCGUUGUAUUAGCUAGUUGGUGAGGUAAAGGCUCACCAAGGCGAUGAUGCAUAGCCGACCUGAGAGGGUGAUCGGCCACAUUGGGACUGAGACACGGCCCAAACUCCUACGGGAGGCAGCAGUAGGGAAUCUUCGGCAAUGGACGAAAGUCUGACCGAGCAACGCCGCGUGAGUGAAGAAGGUUUUCGGAUCGUAAAACUCUGUUGGUAGAGAAGAACGUUGGUGAGAGUGGAAAGCUCAUCAAGUGACGGUAACUACCCAGAAAGGGACGGCUAACUACGU